rnacentral:rRNA from 1 species
GACGAACGCUGGCGGCGUGCUUAACACAUGCAAGUCGAACGAAGUGGCGAACGGGCGAGUAACGCGUAAACAACCUGCCAUUCUGCGGGGGACAACAGUUGGAAACGACUGCUAAUACCGCAUACUGAGGGAGGGGUUUGCGUCUGAUUAGCUAGUUGGAGGGGUAACGGCCCACCAGGGGGAUGAUCAGUAGCCGGUCUGAGAGGAUGAACGGCCACAGUGGGACUGGGACCCGGCCCAGACUCCGACGGGAGGCAGCAGGGGGGAAGUCGCCGCAAUGGACGAAAGUCUGACGGGGCAACGCCGCGUGAGUGAUGAGGGCUUUCGGGUUGUAAAGCUCUGUUAAUCGGGACGCGGUACCGGAAUAGAAAGCCACGGCUAACUACGUGCCAGCAGCCGCGGUAAUUC